UCGGUUGUUGGCAUCAACCUCGAAAACUCUACCAAUUACAUCUGUUGGAACUUGAGUUCAUAAAAGAAUCCUGAGUUCCUUUAUUUUUGAUUGUAUAACAGACUUAUAAGUCAUGUUUGGUGAGGUUGCGAUGAUUGCUGAGCCAAUAUUGGUAUGCGUAUUGAGGCUGGUUUCAGUUGGACUGAUCAAUCUUUGGACCUAAACAUGAUCCAGUUUAACAUUGGCUAUGACAUGCACCCUUACUAGCUGCUGCCUUUUUUUUUUUGUUGAGAAUAAUCGUUUCUUGCCUUCCUGUAUUUGUUAAGAAAUUGCCAUGUCAAUAGAAGUAAAGCACGUAAGAAAUUAUAGAGUAGCAUUACAGUAUUUGCCUCAAAACGAAAUCAGUGUAGCCAAAUUAAAAAAAAAAAAAACAUAAUUAAUACUAUCUUAAGGGUCUUUUACUUCAUAAGAAUCCAAAAAAAUAUGCAAAAUAAAUCUAUAUAAAUCCCAUCCAGCACUUCCCUCAAACCAAACCAAUGCAGCAGGGAGGAGGAAAUUAGAGAAGUAGCGAAGAAAACAAUAAUGCAAGAAGAGAGAGAGAGAGAGAGAGAGAGAGAAACAAAAGAUAAAAAGAUCAGCAAACAAAAAGAGUCAUAUCUUCUUCUUUCUUUCUUUUUGUGAGGCCUACUGCAAAUAGAAGGCAAAGAAGGAGAGGACAGAGGCCCCGAUCAAAGCAGCAAUAGAAAGGGUGACCUCAAAGGAGGCGCUGACGGGGCCAGGGCCGGGGCAUCAGCAGCCAAGGCCGUGGCGGCCGAGGCGGCGGCGGCGAUGGUUAGGACGGCGCAGGCAAUCUUUUGCAUCUCGAUUGCGGGUGAUGGACGGCAAGAGUGUUUGGCCGGAGACCACCUUUAAUUGGUGUGCAGAGGAGAUGGAAAAGAGCAUGUUGAUGGCUUUGCUU
rnacentral:lncRNA from 1 species